UGGAAUUUUUGUACUCCUACAGCUGCCAAAUUUUGUGGAACAAGAAGUCUCAUGAGUCAUAACACUCAUGCUCCAUUUCAUACCUUGCUUCAGAUUACACAAUAAACCCAACACCAAAAAGUCAGGAGCAUGUGAAAAGGAUUGGAGAGAGAGCCAAUGAGUGCAUUUGGGCUACUCAUGACAUUUGAAGCAACAUACAAGCAUUUUUGCAAUGAGCCAUGCUGCUCACCCGGAUGUCCCCCCUCUCCUGGAGACCCAGAGAAGAAUAGCAAUUCCACGAGACUUCAGUAGCAACUCUAAAGAUGACCCACGGAUCACUCACGCAACUCAUCUGGAAACAUGGAAGAAAAAGCAGUCAAAGAAAAUAGUGAGACUUAGCUGUAUUUUGAAAAAGCAUUGGUAUGUUUUAGUUGUUGUUUUUAGGACACAUUCUAUCCUGUGACAACUUUCAACCAGAAAACUGAAAUUGGUGCAUAAUUCAUAAGAAUCUAAGACAAGAAAAGCCACUGAGGAUCAGGCCUGUCUGGUCCAGCAAUCCUGAUUCCUACAGCAGUUAAACAGAUGAAUGGCUAGCCAACAGUAGCAAAUUAACAUGUAGCCUAUGUAACAGGAAGGACUCAGAGGAACGAUGGCUUCGAAUUCUUCAUAUUGUAUCCU